AUUGAACGCUGGCGGCAUGCCUAAUACAUGCAAGUCGAACGGUAACGCGGGGGCAACCCUGGCGACGAGUGGCGGACGGGUGCGUAGUACAUGGGAAUCUGCCCAAUAGUGUGGGACAACUCGGGGAAACUCGAGCUAAUACCGCAUAUUCCUCACGGGGGAAAGCAGGGGACCUUUAAUGGCCUUGUGCUAUUGGAUGAGCCCAUGUCCGAUUAGCUAGUUGGUAGGGUAAUAGCCUACCAAGGCAACAAUCGGUAGCUGGUCUGAGAGGACGACCAGCCACACUGGGACUGAGACACGGCCCAGACUCCUACGGGAGGCAGUAGUAGGGAAUAUUGGACAAUGGGCGAAAGCCUGAUCCAGCAAUGCCGCGUGUGUGAAGAAGGCCUGCGGGUUGUAAAGCACUUUUAGUGGGGAAGAAAAGCUUAGGGCUAAUAUCCCUAAGUCUUGACGUUACUCACAGAAACAGCACCGGCUAACUCUGUGCCAGCCGCCGCGGUAAGAC
rnacentral:rRNA from 1 species